rnacentral:rRNA from 1 species
CUGGGCGUAAGCGCGCGCAGGCCGUUGAGUUAGUUAAUUGUGAAAUCCCAAAGCUUAACUUUGGAACUGCAAUUAAAACUGCUCGACUAGAGUUUGAUAGAGGAAAGCGGAAUACAUAGUGUAGAGGUGAAAUUCGUAGAUAUUAUGUAGAACACCAGUUGCGAAGGCGGCUUUCUGGAUCAACACUGACGCUGAGGCGCGAAAGUAUGGGUAGCAAAGAGGAUUAGAUACCCUCGUAGUCCAUACCAUAAACGAUGAUUGCUAGAUGUUGGAAAUUUAUUUUCAGUAUCGCAGCUAACGCAUUAAGCAAUCCGCCUGGGGAGUACGACCGCAAGGUUAAAACUCAAAUGAAUUGACGGGGACCCGCACAAGCGGUGGAGCAUGUGGUUUAAUUCGAAGAUACGCGCAGAACCUUACCAACCCUUGACAUGUCUGUCGCGAGUUUAGGAAACUAGACUUUUCGGUCCGGCCGGACAGAACACAGGUGCUGCAUGGCUGUCGUCAGCUCGUGUCGUGAGAUGUUGGGUUAAGUCCCGCAACGAGCGCAACCCCUACUUUUAGUUGCCAUCAGGUCAUGCUGGGCACUCUGAAAGAACUGCCAGUGAUAAGCUGGAGGAAGGUGGGGAUGACGUCAAGUCCUCAUGGCCCUUACGGGUUGGGCUACACACGUGCUACAAUGGUAGUGACAAUGAGAUGCAAAGUGGCGACGCUAAGCUAAACUCAAAAAUCUACCUCAGUUCGGAUUGCACUCUGCAACUCGAGUGCAUGAAGCUGGAAUCGCUAGUAAUCGUAGAUCAGCGUGCUA